GAUGAACGCUAGCUACAGGCUUAACACAUGCAAGUCGCGGGGCAGCAUGGGGGUUGCUUGCAAUCCCCGAUGGCGACCGGCGCACGGGUGAGUAACGCGUAUCCAACCUGCCCUUCACCACGGGAUAACCCGGCGAAAGUCGGACUAAUACCGUAUGUUGUCCAUUGACGGCAUCCGAUUUGGACGAACGGUUUGGCGGUGAAGGAUGGGGAUGCGUCCGAUUAGCUGGACGGCGGGGUGACGGCCCACCGUGGCGACGAUCGGUAGGGGUUCUGAGAGGAAGGUCCCCGACACUGGAACUGAGACACGGUCCAGGGUCCUACGGGAGGCAGCAGUGAGGAAUAUUGGUCAAUGGGCGUAAGCCUGAACCAGCCAAGUAGCGUGCAGGAUGGCGGCCCUAUGGGUUGUAAACUGCUUUUAUGCGGGGAUAAAGUGGCCCACGUGUGGGUUUUUGCAGGUACCGCAUGAAUAAGGACCGGCUAAUUCCGUG
rnacentral:rRNA from 1 species